rnacentral:rRNA from 1 species
CCUACGGGAGGCAGCAGUAGGGAAUAUUGCUCAAUGGGGGAAACCCUGAAGCAGCAACGCCGCGUGGAGGAUGAAGGUUUUCGGAUUGUAAACUCCUUUUGUUAGAGAAGAUAAUGACGGUAUCUAACGAAUAAGCACCGGCUAACUCCGGGCCAGCAGCCGCGGGAAUACGGAGGGUUCAAGCGUUACUCGGACUCACGGGGCGUAAAGAGCGCGUAGGCGGGAUAGCAAGUCAGAUGUGAAAUCCUAUGGCUUAACCAUAGAACUGCAUUUGAAACUGUUAUUCUAGAGUAUGGGAGAGGUAGGUGGAAUUCUUGGUGUAGGGGUAAAAUCCGUAGAGAUCAAGAGGAAUACUCAUUGCGAAGGCGACCUGCUAGAACAUAACUGACGCUGAUGCGCGAAAGCGUGGGGAGCAAACAGGAUUAGAUACCCGUGUAGUC